GGGAACCUCCAGCUGGCGACAGAUGGGGAAGGAGACAAUGCUGCCUUGGAAAAAAGAAUCCUCGUGCUCUCCUUACUGGCACAGCUAAAACUUCGAGAAACACAGGCAUGCCCAUUCCUGUGUGGCAUUCUAAAGACAGAAGCUGAACAGCACUGGUGAUGAGCUGUCAACGGGCACCGUGAAGAAACAAACAACAGGACCUAUGUUAACUGUGGGUUCACCCUUUGGUCUGCAAUGGGAAGAGCUGAUCACUGUAAUCAAAGUAUAAACAAAGCUGAUUCAA